rnacentral:rRNA from 1 species
UACGUAGGUGGCGAGCGUUGUCCGGAUUUACUGGGCGGAAAGUGUGCGCAGGCGGCCGCGCAAGUCGAGUGUGAAAGCCCCGAGCUUAACUUGGGAAUUGCGCUCGAAACUACGUGGCUGGAGUGUGGCAGAGGAAGGUGGAAUUCCACGUGUAGCGGUGAAAUGCGUAGAGAUGUGGAGGAACACCAAUGGCGAAGGCAGCCUUCUGGGCCAACACUGACGCUCAUGCACGAAAGCGUGGGGAGCAAACAGG